rnacentral:rRNA from 1 species
GAUGAACGCUGGCGGCGUGCCUAAUACAUGCAAGUCGAGCGAACAGACGCGGAGCUUGCUGGUGUGACGGUAGCGGCGGACGGGUGAGUAACACGUGGAUAAUCUACCUAUAAGACUGGGAUAACUUCGGGAAACCGGAGCUAAUACCGGAUAAUAUAUUGAACCGCAUGGUUCAAUAGUGAAAGACGGUUUUGCUGUCACUUAUAGAUGGAUUCGCGCCGCAUUAGCUAGUUGGUAAGGUAACGGCGUACCAAGGCGGCGAUGCGUAGCCGACCUGAGAGGGUGAUCGGCCACACUGGAACUGAGACACGGUCCAGACGCCUACGAGAGGCAGCAGUAGGGAAUCUUCCGCAAUGGGCGAAAGCCUGACGGAGCAACGCCGCGGGAGUGAUGAAGGUCUUCGGCUCGUAAAACUCUGUUAUUAGGGAAGAACAAAGGUGUAAGUAACUGUGCACGGCUUGACGGUACCUAAUCAGAAAGCCACGGCUAACUACGUG